CCAUUGCAAAACUCCACUUUUACCAGAUGCUGGGAGCAGUCCAGGAACAGGAUCAUCCACAGACUGCUGAAACCUGGCAUGAUGAGCUGCUGUUAUAUCAGCUCAUACUCUUGUGUACAUUGUACUUUUGAAAAAUAAAGAGAUUCUAAUAUAA